AAGGAAGACAGGUUGGUGGGGAAAGAAGAGUGGCAGGGAGAGGGAGAAUGUGUGGAGGACAAAGGAGAGGAAGACCCAAGAGCGGUGGUCUCUGAUGAGAUAAGGGCCACAAUUAUUGACCAUGUUGUAAACCAUGGUCUCUCUUUGAGAGAGGCAACCAAGUCUGCAACCAAAUCUGCAGCAUUCAACAGUUGCAUCAAUAGUACGAAUUUUCCGGCAAAACAACAGGACUCUGGCAAUUGUCGUUGUGCUGACCGUAUUCACAUUCCCAAAAGUGAUAUUGUCUGCCAGCAACACAAAAUACCCUUUGAGAGAAAUGAGAGAAAUGGUGAACGUGUGAAAGAACUCCAGUAUCAAUAUGUCCAGAGAGUAAUGGAGAUGGAAGCCAGGCAAACUGCACAUCCAUUCAUCUUUGUGGAUGAAGUUGGAUUCAACCUGGCAAAAACACACCCCAGGGGAAGAAAUGUGAUUGGACAGAGAGCAACCGUGGAUGUCCCUGGUCAGAGAGCAACUGUGGAUGUCCCUGGACAGAGAGCAACCCUGGAUGUCCCAGGCCAGAGAGGAGCUAACAUCACAAUGUGUGCAGCACUGUCCAAUGAUGGUUUGUUGUUACACAAACCACUCAUUGGCCCCUACAAUACAGAGGCUCAUUUAUUUUCUGGAUGACAUGCAUAAUCGACUUGUGGAGAGAGGGGCCAGAAACUCCCCUACCUUCGUUGUUGUGUGGGAUAAUGCAGCAUUCCACCACUCUGCUGCAGUCGGACUGGUUUGUUGCACAUCCCAGGAUGUCAGUACUAUUCCUGCCUCCAUACUCCCCCUUCCUAAACCCCUUAGAGGAGUUUUUCUCUGCGUGGAGGUGGAAGGUUUAUAACCACCAUCCAGAUCACCAGAUGUCCUUACUGGAUGCCAUGAAUGUGGGGUGUGGAGACACUUCUCCUGACGACUGCCAGGGUUGGAUUAGACAUUCCAGAAGAUACUUCCCAAGAUGCAUCGCCAGAGAAGACAUAAGAUGUGAUGUUGAUGAGAACUUGUGGCCAAAUGCAUGAGAGAGGGAGAACUAGAACCCACACAGUACUGUCCAGUAUGAGUGAUUAUACUAUACAUGUUGAUGAGAACUAGAACCCACACAGUACUACUGUACA